rnacentral:rRNA from 1 species
UGGGGAAUAUUGCACAAUGGGGGAAACCCUGAUGCAGCGACGCCGCGUGAGCGAUGAAGGCUUUCGGGUCGUAAAGCUCUUUUAUAUGGGAAGAUAAUGACGGUACCAUAAGAAAAAGCCCCGGCUAACUACGUGCCAGCAGCCGCGGUAAUACGUAGGGGGCUAGCGUUGUCCGGAAUCACUGGGCGUAAAGGGUUCGCAGGCGGCAAUGCAAGUCAGAUGUAAAAGGCAAAGGCUCAACCUUUGUAAGCAUCUGAAACUGUAUAGCUUGAGAAGUGUAGAGGCAAGUGGAAUUUUUAGUGUAGCGGUGAAAUGCGUAGAUAUUAAAAAGAAUACCGGUGGCGAAGGCGACUUGCUGGGCACAAUCUGACGCUGAGGAACGAAAGCGUGGGGAGCAAACAGG